UGUGGGUAUCCAUAAAGGAACUUUCUUUUGCCAAUAUCAUUCAUUUCCCUAUAUAAACAAGCUCCAACAAUUGUCAUAACUGUCUCUAAGAACUUCUUAUCAAUUCCAAGCAUUACUUCAUCGUUUGACCUCCCCAAAAACCACAAUCCUAAAUUUCUCUAACUAUAACAACCCAUCAAUCCUUUUUCACAUUUAGCUCCAUGGCUCAAUAGGG
rnacentral:misc_RNA from 1 species